AUUUAUUUAUAGUGACCUUAUCUACAAUUUCUCACGAUUUUUUGAGGUAUAAAUUUUAAAAACUGUUAUCUUUUCUAUGAAAUCUUUCCAGUAACUUUAACAGUUGAUUUAGUUGUAGUCUAUUCACGACGUGAAGAUGUUGAUUAUCCUUGCUGCGCUUGUUUUGUCUGUGGCUAUUGCCACCCCAGUAGGGAACCCCCCGGCCAUGAACGUUGACUGUCCAUUGGUCCGUUGUAUGCCAUGUGCCGGAAGUUACGCCAUCGACGACAACGGGUGCCAGACCUGCACGUGUCAGGUAGAGAAGCGUCAGGCGUGCUCAGGUGUCAUGUGCAUGAUGUUCUGCAUCAACGGCUUCAAGACAGACAGCAACGGCUGUGAGAUCUGCAGUUGUGCAUAGACGCAACACGGCUAUAGACAUAGUUCAUGUAUGAAAUGUUACAUACUGUCGUAUGUCAUGUAUGAUGCUACAUAUUGUUAUAUGUAAUGUAUGAAAUGUUACAUACUGCCCUAUGUCAUGUAUGAUAUAUUAUAUUCUGUUAUAUGUCAUGUAAGAUAUAUUAUAUACUGGCGUAAGUGAUGUAUAUGUUACAUACUGUCAUAUGUAAUGUAUGAAAUGUUACAAACUGUCAUAUGUUAUGUAUGAUAUAUUAUAUACUAGCGUAUGUGAUGUAUGAUAUGUCGCGUACUGUUGAUGUAAUGUAUGAAAUAUUACAUACUGUCACAUGUAAUGUAUGAAAUGUUACUAGCUAUCGGAAUUACUGUACGAAAUGUUACAUACGGUCAUAUGUAAUGUAUUAUAUGUUACAUACUAUCGGAUUCACUGUAUGAAAUGUUACAUACUAUGAAAUAAAAGCAGUUGCCUAUGUA